rnacentral:rRNA from 1 species
ACCUCUGCAAUAGGCGAAAACCUGACAGGGUUACUCUGAGUGACUUUCGUUAAGAGAGUCUUUUGGCACCUCUAAAAAGGGUGUAGAAUAAGGGGUGGGCAAGUCUGGUGUCAGCCGCCGCGGUAAUACCAGCACCCCGAGUGGUCGGGACGAUUAUUGGGCCUAAAGCAUCCGUAGCCGGUUCUGCAAGUCCUCCGUUAAAUCCAACUGCUUAACAGAUGGGCCGCGGAGGAUACUACAGAGCUAGGAGGCAGGAGAGGCAAGCGGUACUCAGUGGGUAGGGGUAAAAUCCGUUGAUCCAUUGAAGACCACCAGUGGCGAAGGCGGCUUGCCAGAAUGCGCUCGACGGUGAGGGAUGAAAGCUGGGGGAGCAAACCGGAUUAGAUACCCGGGUAGUCCCAGCCGUAAACGAUGCAGACUCGGUGAUGGGUUGGCUUCGUGCUAACCCAGUGCCGCAGGGAAGCCGUUAAGUCUGCCGCCUGGGUAGUACGGUCGCAAGACUGAAACUUAA